AUGACCGUAAGGACAUGUGGAGCGCUUAGAAGUGAGAAUGCCGGUAUGAGUAGCGAAAGACGGGUGAGAAUCCCGUCCACCGAAUGACUAAGGUUUCCUGGGGAAGGCUCGUCCUCCCAGGGUUAGUCGGGACCUAAGGCGAGGCCGAAAGGCGUAGUCGAUGGAUAACAGGUUGAUAUUCCUGUACUUCUGUUAAUUGUUUGAGCAAUGGAGGGACGCAGGAGGCUAAGUUGAGCGUACGACUGGAAAUGUACGUCCAAGCAGCGAGUCCGCUGAUGAGUGAAAUGCUUGUCACAUACGGGGUGAGCUGUGAUGGGGAGCGAAAUAAAGUAGCGAAGCAACUGACGUCACACUGCCGAGAAAAGCUUCUAGUGAGAUUAACAGAACCCGUACCGCAAACCGACACAGGUAGUUGAGUGGAGAACACUAAGGUGAGCGAGCGAACUCUCGUUAAGGAACUCGGCAAAAUGACCCCGUAACUUCGGGAGAAGGGGUGCUGGUAGAAAUACCAGCCGCAGUGAAUAGGCCCAGGCGACUGUUUAUCAAAAACACAGGUCUCUGCAAAAUCGAAAGAUGACGUAUAGGGGCUGACGCCUGCCCGGUGCUGGAAGGU
rnacentral:rRNA from 1 species